rnacentral:piRNA from 1 species
AAAUAAAUAAAUAAAAAGGUUAGCUUUCCAU